AAAUUGAAGAGUUUGAUCAUGGCUCAGAUUGAACGCUGGCGGCAGGCCUAACACAUGCAAGUCGAGCGGUAGCACAGAGAGCUUGCUCUCGGGUGACGAGCGGCGGACGGGUGAGUAAUGUCUGGGAAACUGCCUGAUGGAGGGGGAUAACUACUGGAAACGGUAGCUAAUACCGCAUAACGUCGCAAGACCAAAGUGGGGGACCUUCGGGCCUCAUGCCAUCAGAUGUGCCCAGAUGGGAUUAGCUGGUAGGUGGGGUAACGGCUCACCUAGGCGACGAUCCCUAGCUGGUCUGAGAGGAUGACCAGCCACACUGGAACUGAGACACGGUCCAGACUCCUACGGGAGGCAGCAGUGGGGAAUAUUGCACAAUGGGCGCAAGCCUGAUGCAGCCAUGCCGCGUGUGUGAAGAAGGCCUUCGGGUUGUAAAGCACUUUCAGCGGGGAGGAAGGCGGUGAGGUUAAUAACCUCAUCGAUUGACGUUACCCGCAGAAGAAGCACCGGCUAACUCCGUGCCAGCAGCCGCGGUAAUACGGAGGGUGCAAGCGUUAAUCGGAAUUACUGGGCGUAAAGCGCACGCAGGCGGUCUGUCAAGUCGGAUGUGAAAUCCCCGGGCUCAACCUGGGAACUGCAUUCGAAACUGGCAGGCUAGAGUCUUGUAGAGGGGGGUAGAAUUCCAGGUGUAGCGGUGAAAUGCGUAGAGAUCUGGAGGAAUACCGGUGGCGAAGGCGGCCCCCUGGACAAAGACUGACGCUCAGGUGCGAAAGCGUGGGGAGCAAACAGGAUUAGAUACCCUGGUAGUCCACGCUGUAAACGAUGUCGAUUUGGAGGUUGUGCCCUUGAGGCGUGGCUUCCGGAGCUAACGCGUUAAAUCGACCGCCUGGGGAGUACGGCCGCAAGGUUAAAACUCAAAUGAAUUGACGGGGGCCCGCACAAGCGGUGGAGCAUGUGGUUUAAUUCGAUGCAACGCGAAGAACCUUACCUGGUCUUGACAUCCACAGAACUUAGCAGAGAUGCUUUGGUGCCUUCGGGAACUGUGAGACAGGUGCUGCAUGGCUGUCGUCAGCUCGUGUUGUGAAAUGUUGGGUUAAGUCCCGCAACGAGCGCAACCCUUAUCCUUUGUUGCCAGCGGUCCGGCCGGGAACUCAAAGGAGACUGCCAGUGAUAAACUGGAGGAAGGUGGGGAUGACGUCAAGUCAUCAUGGCCCUUACGACCAGGGCUACACACGUGCUACAAUGGCAUAUACAAAGAGAAGCGACCUCGCGAGAGCAAGCGGACCUCAUAAAGUAUGUCGUAGUCCGGAUUGGAGUCUGCAACUCGACUCCAUGAAGUCGGAAUCGCUAGUAAUCGUAGAUCAGAAUGCUACGGUGAAUACGUUCCCGGGCCUUGUACACACCGCCCGUCACACCAUGGGAGUGGGUUGCAAAAGAAGUAGGUAGCUUAACCUUCGGGAGGGCGCUUACCACUUUGUGAUUCAUGACUGGGGUGAAGUCGUAACAAGGUAACCGUAGGGGAACCUGCGGUUGGAUCACCUCCUUACCUUAAAGAA
rnacentral:rRNA from 1 species